ensembl:lncRNA
CGAGGCACUUGCCACGAUUUCACGAGGCAGUUGCCACGAAUUCGAGACACUUGCCACGACUUCGAGGCAGUUGCCACGAUUUCACGAGGCAGUUGCCACGAAGUCGAGACACUUGCCAUGACUUCGAGGCAAUUGCCACGGCUUCACGACAGCUACCUCGACUUUGCCGCAGUGGUGCCUCGACGGUUGCCGUUUUUACGACAGCUGCCUCGACUUUGCGCCAGACAGUUGCCGUUUUAUUUCCCAAAUAUGUGAUAUGUUUGUUUUAUCAUUUGCCACUAUGUGACUACAAUACUGCCUUUAAAAUUACCAGUGUUGGUAGUUAUUAUUAUUAACUAUUAACUAUUAUUAUUAUUCCUGCCUAGUGCAAUAACACUUUACAAUAAAUCAUCCCUGGCUAAAUAAUGACAAUAAUAACCCUGUACUGCUGCUGCUCUUUCCUCUUCCUCUUCUCCUUUUACAAAUUAUUAUUAUUGUCUCUUUUGGAAGGUUAUUCUUUUGUUUCAGUUUAUUUAAUUUAAUUUAAUAAUUUAAUAUUUCUAUCUU